AUUGAACGCUGGCGGCAUGCUUUACACAUGCAAGUCGAACGGUAACAGGCCUUCGGGUGCUGACGAGUGGCGAACGGGUGAGUAAUGCAUCGGAACGUACCCAGAGGUGGGGGAUAACGCAGCGAAAGCUGUGCUAAUACCGCAUGUGAUCUGAGGAUGAAAGCGGGGGACCGAGCAGCAAUGUUUGGCCUCGCGCCUUUGGAGCGGCCGAUGUCGGAUUAGCUAGUUGGUGGGGUAAAGGCCUACCAAGGCGACGAUCCGUAGCUGGUCUGAGAGGACGACCAGCCACACUGGGACUGAGACACGGCCCAGACUCCUACGGGAGGCAGCAGUGGGGAAUUUUGGACAAUGGGCGCAAGCCUGAUCCAGCAAUGCCGUGUGCGGGAAGAAGGCCUUCGGGUUGUAAACCGCUUUUGGCAGGAACGAAACGGUGUCCGCUAAUACCGGGCGCUAAUGACGGUACCUGCAGAAUAAGCACCGGCUAACUACGUG
rnacentral:rRNA from 1 species